AGGGUAUUGCAGGGCAUCAAACAUCUUUUCCAUCUCUCGAAUCCAUGUCUCUGCAGCCAUAGGAUCAGAUCCACCCUCAAAUAGAGGUGGGUUGAGCCUUCUGAAUCUCUCAUAGUAUGACUCCAUAGAUAAUAUCGGUCGAGGAGCAGUUUGUGCCUGCUGCUGGAUAAGCUGAGCCACCACUUGACAUACACCAGCAAUGUCCACCUGAGUAGCCGGUGCGUCAGGAGCCCACUCAACUGGUUGAUUGGCAGCUCCCCGCGACGUCAAUCUUGCUCUUCUUAUCCUAGCAGCCAUAUUUGCCAAGGUCUCGCCCUCCCUAUCGCUCAUCGCUUCCUAUUCAAAUGCCAACAUUAUUACAUUAUUUUAUAACAGAGUUGCAGUACAGUUAAUAAUUUAAGUCAGAGUCUAACUAUGCGUAACCUAGCUACCCACUGUUAGGUUUUAAGUUCUACCCUUGAGUAAACCUUUCGCUCUGAUACCAUAAAAUGUCACGCUCCA
rnacentral:lncRNA from 1 species